AUGAACGCUGGCGGCGUGCCUAAUCCAUGCCAGUCGAGCGAACAGACGAGGAGCUUGCUCCUCUGACGUUAGCGGCGGACGGGUGAGUAACACGUGGAUAACCUACCUAUAAGACUGGGAUAACUUCGGGAAACCGGAGCUAAUACCGGAUAACAUGUUGAACCGCAUGGUUUAACAGUGAAAGACGGUCUUGCUGUCACUUAUAGAUGGAUCCGCGCCGCAUUAGCUAGUUGGUAAGGUAACGGCUUACCAAGGCAACGAUGCGUAGCCGACCUGAGAGGGUGAUCGGCCACACUGGAACUGAGACACGGUCCAGACUCCUACGGGAGGCAGCAGUAGGGAAUCUUCCGCAAAGGGCGAAAGCCUGACGGAGCAACGCCGCGUGAGUGAAGAAGGUCUUCGGAUCGUAAAACUCUGUUAUUAGGGAAGAACAAAUGUGUAAGUAACUAUGCACGUCUUGACGGUACCUAAUCAGAAAGCCACGGCUAACUACGUG
rnacentral:rRNA from 1 species